CACCCCAAUUACCAGGUGAAUUUAGGAUGAACUCCGUGUGACAACUGGCGUCGUCAAGUUCUCUUAUUUGGGGACUAGUAACGGUUUAUCUCGAGACCAUCACGGGGAAUCUAGGAGAACAAGUGAAAUAAAGGACGUGAAAGAACUUUGAAAGCUGUGAGCGACCGCACGGGGAUCAGCACGAUGGUGAAGUUCGUCACCAGCAUCGCCAGCACGGUCAUCGUCUUUACCGCAUCGCUAGAUUCAUUCCAGCAUAUUUUCUGAGGUUUCCAAGCCUCAGAAAUGUCACCUAAGGUAGAAAAGAUGUCGGAGAAUUUGAGCGGUUUUAGCAAAAGCGAAGAUUUGGGGAAUUCUCACCCACGGCUGGUGCCAGGGGGACUUGGCACAGCCCUCUUGGAGUCAACUUGGCAGCGUGGAGUCAGCUGGGAAGUCUGUGUCCCAG
rnacentral:lncRNA from 1 species